AUCUCUCAACCCCACAAGGUUGGACUUGAGGCGUGCGGUUGGACCUGAGGUCCAUUGCUCCCUUUAAAUGCAUGACCAGCUUUUGAGACGUGAUAGUUCACCGUCGACGAGUAGCGGUCACGAGCUUUCCCAUCUGGGAUCGCCCAACACACUUUUUGUUU
rnacentral:misc_RNA from 1 species